GCGGAGGAAAAGAAACCAACAGGGAUUGCCCUAGUAACGGCGAGUGAAGCGGCAACAGCUCAAAUUUGAAAGCUGGCCUUCGGGUCCGCAUUGUAAUUUGGAGAGGAUGCUUUGGGGAAGCCGCCUGUCUAAGUUCCUUGGAACAGGACGUCAUAGAGGGUGAGAAUCCCGUAUGUGACAGGAAAUGGCACCCUAUGUAAAGCUCCUUCGACGAGUCGAGUUGUUUGGGAAUGCAGCUCUAAAUGGGAGGUAAAUUUCUUCUAAAGCUAAAUAUUGGCGAGAGACCGAUAGCGCACAAGUAGAGUGAUCGAAAGAUGAAAAGCACUUUGGAAAGAGAGUUAAAAAGCACGUGAAAUUGUUGAAAGGGAAGCGCUUGCAAUCAGACUUGUUUAAACUGUUCGGCCGGUCUUCUGACCGGUUUACUCAGUUUGGACAGGCCAGCAUCAGUUUCGGCGGCCGGAUAAAGGCUCUGGGAAUGUGGCCCUCACUUCGGUGAGGGUGUUAUAGCCCAGUGUGUAAUACGGCCAGCCGGGACUGAGGUCCGCGCUUCGGCUAGGAUGCUGGCGUAAUGGUUGUAAGCGACCCGU
rnacentral:rRNA from 1 species